rfam:Salmo salar isolate Sally breed double haploid chromosome ssa12, whole genome shotgun sequence.
GGGCCAGUGGCGCAAUGGAUAACGUGUCUGACUACGUAUCAGAAGAUUCUAGGUUCGACUCCUGGCUGGCUCG